CACGUAGGGCGCAAGCGUUGUCCGGAAUUAUUGGGCGUAAAGAGCUCGUAGGCGGACUGUCACGUCUGCUGUGAAAAGCUGGGGCUUAACCCUGGCCUUGCAGUGGAUACGGGCAGACUAGAGGUGAGGUAGGGGAGAAUGGAAUUCCCGGUGUAGCGGUGAAAUGCGCAGAUAUCGGGAGGAACACCGGUGGCGAAGGCGGUUCUCUGGGCCUUACCUGACGCUGAGGAGCGAAAGCGU
rnacentral:rRNA from 1 species